CCCUUAGAUGUUCUGGGCUGCACACGUGCUACACUGGCAGGUUCAGCGAGCUUCAUGCCCUGAUCUGAAAGGAAUGGGAAAUCUUUUCAAAACCUGCCGUGCUUGGGAUAGAUGUUUGCAAUUAUUCAUCUUCAACGAGGAUUGCCUUGUAAGCGCACGUCAUCAGCGUGCAUUGAAUACGACCCUGUAUUCUGUACACACCGCCCGUCGCUCCUACCGAUUGAAGUUUUCGGUGAGGCUUUGGGAUCUGAGCGGAAAGAGCGUUUCGCUGUUUCUGCUCGGAAAACUCAGUCGAACCUUAUCAUUUAGAGGAAGGAGAAGUCGUAACA
rnacentral:rRNA from 1 species